GAGGAUUUGAGAGAGAGUGCUAGAUUGGGGGCAAACCCUUGUCGAUUUGCCCCUCAACCCAUUGAUCAAAGCCGCCUGACGCCUCCCUCGUCACCAUCCUCGCGUGUGUGAGUCGUCCACUGUCCGAAUUCGUUAGGUUUCGAGACCCUAGCGGGUGCCCGGUGCGCUCUAACCUCGUCGGGCAGCGAUGGAUCAUCGAUUCAAGUGAUCUAAGUGGUUAGGAAUAGGGUUUUCCCCAAAUUAAACCCAUCGGAACACCAGAUUCCUCAAAACCCUAAUCCAAAAGGUCCAAGAUGCGAGCACUGUCAAGAGUGCCCCUGUGGAGCCCGGUGAGGAGCUGGGAGAUGCAUAACUCGUGAAGAGUCUGGCUGAGCUCUACGAGCUCAACCAGAAGCUUGUUAGCAUUUUGAUGCGUUUAACUAGGUCUGGUUUUGUAGAAACACCUUGGGUUUGUACAUACCCUGAUGGGGUUAUUAUAUAUUUUGGACUCAAUAUUUUGGAUAUUGUCCUAUUUACGCUAUGAUACGUCGUAGUUAUCUUUACUUAUCUCUCGAUACCUACUUUGCUAAUGCAUGCGACUCUGAUUGUUAAUUUGUUUGGAGAGAAUCUAACCAUGUAGACAUGUGGGAACUCCUCUACA